AGACCCGAAACCCGGUGAUCUAGCCAUGGGCAGGUUGAAGGUUGGGUAACACUAACUGGAGGACCGAACCGACUAAUGUUGAAAAAUUAGCGGAUGACCUGUGGCUGGGGGUGAAAGGCCAAUCAAACCGGGAGAUAGCUGGUUCUCCCCGAAAGCUAUUUAGGUAGCGCCUCGUGAAUUCAUCUCCGGGGGUAGAGCACUGUUUCGGCUAGGGGGCCAUCCCGGCUUACCAACCCGAUGCAAACUGCGAAUACCGGAGAAUGUUAUCACGGGAGACACACGGCGGGUGCUAACGUCCGUCGUGAAGAGGGAAACAACCCAGACCGCCAGCUAAGGUCCCAAAGUCAUGGUUAAGUGGGAAACGAUGUGGGAAGGCCCAGACAGCCAGGAUGUUGGCUUAGAAGCAGCCAUCAUUUAAAGAAAGCGUAAUAGCUCACUGGUCGAGUCGGCCUGCGCGGAAGAUGUAACGGGGCUAAACCAUGCACCGAAGCUGCGGCAGCGACACUGUGUGUUGUUGGGUAGGGGAGCGUUCUGUAAGCCUGUGAAGGUGUGUCGUGAGGCAUGCUGGAGGUAUCAGAAGUGCGAAUGCUGACAUAAGUAACGAUAAAGCGGGUGAAAAGCCCGCUCGCCGGAAGACCAAGGGUUCCUGUCCAACGUUAAUCGGGGCAGGGUGAGUCGACCCCUAAGGCGAGGCCGAAAGGCGUAGUCGAUGGGAAACGGGUUAAUAUUCCCGUACUUGGUGUUACUGCGAAGGGGGGACGGAGAAGGCUAUGUUGGCCGGGCGACGGUUGUCCCGGUUUAAGCGUGUAGGUGUGUGUUCCAGGUAAAUCCGGUUCACUUUAACACUGAGGCGUGACGACGAGGCACUACGGUGCUGAAGCAACAAAUGCCCUGCUUCCAGGAAAAGCCUCUAAGCAUCAGGUAACAUCAAAUCGUACCCCAAACCGACACAGGUGGUCAGGUAGAGAAUACCAAGGCGCUUGAGAGAACUCGGGUGAAGGAACUAGGCAAAAUGGUGCCGUAACUUCGGGAGAAGGCACGCUGACACGUAGGUGAAGUGAUUUACUCAUGGAGCUGAAGUCAGUCGAAGAUACCAGCUGGCUGCAACUGUUUAUUAAAAACACAGCACUGUGCAAACACGAAAGUGGACGUAUACGGUGUGACGCCUGCCCGGUGCCGGAAGGUUAAUUGAUGGGGUCAGCGCAAGCGAAGCUCCUGAUCGAAGCCCCGGUAAACGGCGGCCGUAACUAUAACGGUCCUAAGGUAGCGAAAUUCCUUGUCGGGUAAGUUCCGACCUGCACGAAUGGCGUAAUGAUGGCCAGGCUGUCUCCACCCG
rnacentral:rRNA from 1 species